UACGAAGGGAGCUAGCGUUGUUCGGAAUCACUGGGCGUAAAGCGCACGUAGGCGGAUUUGUCAGUCAGGGGUGAAAUCCGGGGGCUCAACCUCGGAACUGCCUUUGAUACUGAAGAUCUUGAGUUCGGGAGAGGUGAGUGGAACUGCGAGUGUAGAGGUGAAAUUCGUAGAUAUUCGCAAGAACACCAGUGGCGAAGGCGGCUCACUGGCCCGAUACUGACGCUGAGGCACGAAAGCGUGGGGAGCAAACAGG
rnacentral:rRNA from 1 species